GUGGGAGGGGGCUUGCUCCCGAUAGCGGUGGAUCAGCCAGCAAAUACAGUGGCUGAUGCCCAGCAAUCGGGAGCAAGCCCCCUCCCAC
rnacentral:misc_RNA from 1 species